GAGAGGAUUGUUGCUAGAAAGCUGGAGGGGUGGAUGGACAAAGGGACUCCUUCAUGAGAGCGCACUGGGAAAGUCACUUCUGAAAACAAUAACAGAGCGUUUCAUGGUCGCUUCUAACUGUUGAAUCUUGGUGUUCUGAAGCUUCAAAUGACCUUUUCCCUGGAGCUGACAGACAAUGAGCAGCAGGUCUGGACAGAUGAGGUGGCAAUACUCAAGUUUGCCAAUGCUUUCCUCAACUCAACGCAAAGCUUCUGUGUUUUUUCCACUGAAGGGUUUCUGGACUAAAACAGUCAGGCUGGAUUAUCUUCUUCCUGAGGAAGCCAACAGAAGAAAACAUGACGUGAUUCGUUUCAACUCACAGCCAUUUCUGAAAGUCGUGGAGAUGGCAAAGGGCAGUCAUGUCUUUAAAGUCACAGAAGUGGGAGCUGGACUUCAGACUUUAGGAGUUGAAGAAUUUUCCUUCCCCACCUCUGUAUGAGAAAUCGCUUUUACUCACCAAAAUAAAUAACAUCUCAGUGAAUUAAGGAAAACGGAUAGCAAGUUUCUAAAGAGAAAGAUCAUUCAGCUCCAGGGUUGCAUUAAAUAUUACAUUUUUUUCUGAUUGUAAUGAAGCUACUCUUUGUGUCUUUGUUGGUGGAUCCCAUCUGAUCAGUUAUUCAUGUGAUUAAAAAGUUUGUAGUAUGUCUGUUUGCUUUGUAGCAAUAGCUUACACAUGACAAACCUUUUUGAGUGUCUAGUGCACUAGCACGCUGAUGCCUUUUAUUCUUGCCUCUUUGUAG
ensembl:lncRNA